rnacentral:rRNA from 1 species
UACGUAGGGGGCAAGCGUUGUCCGGAAUCAUUGGGCGUAAAGCGCGUGUAGGCGGUUCGAUAAGUCUGCUGUGAAAGUCCAGGGCUCAACCCUGGGAUGCCGGUGGAUACUGUCGGACUAGAGUACGGAAGAGGCGAGUGGAAUUCCCGGUGUAGCGGUGAAAUGCGCAGAUAUCGGGAGGAACACCAAUUGCGAAGGCAGCUCGCUGGGACGGUACUGACGCUAAGGCGCGAAAGCGUGGGGAGCGAACAGG